GAAUAAUGCACAGUAGGAUUAAUCACUUACUUUUGCAGUCUUCAAGUGGAUUGAUAAAGUUCUGAUAGGUAGAGGAUAAUAUCCUACAGGAAUAGACAAAGCAAAUAUUCCAAAAAGAGAGUUUUUCCUAUAUGAUGCAGAUAGCAUUGAUAUAGGAAGUACAUCAGGUACAUUAAACAAACAAUACAAGUACCAUAAACACUGCAGACUGCUGUAGUGAUUAUAGUGCUACGAAUGCCCUGCCACACUCCCAGAGUUAGG